rnacentral:rRNA from 1 species
GAUGAACGCUGGCGGCGUGCCUAAUACAUGCAAGUCGAACGAGGUGCUUUUGUAGCAAUACGAAAGUACCCUAGUGGCGAACGGGUGAGUAACGCGUUGGUGACCUGCCCCAAAGUGUGGGAUAACAGUCCGAAAGGAUUGCUAAUACCGCAUGUGGCCAUCGGGUUUAGAAACCGAUGUCUAAAGCAGCAAUGCGCUUUGGGAGGGACCUGCGUCCCAUCAGCUAGUUGGUGAGGUAACGGCCCACCAAGGCGACGACGGGUAGGGGGCCUGAGAGGGUGGCCCCCCACAAUGGAACUGAAACACGGUCCAUACACCUACGGGUGGCAGCAGUAGGGAAUAUUGCACAAUGGGCGAAAGCCUGAUGCAGCAACGCCGCGUGAGCGAUGAAGGCCUUCGGGUCGUAAAGCUCUUUUCUGGGAGAUGAGAAAGGACAGUAUCCCAGGAAUAAGUCUCGGCUAACUACGUGCCAGCAGCCGCCGUAAGAC